GUACCGGCGAAGAUAAAGAGUAGUACACGGAUCAUUCAUUUGCAGAGAGCCUGAGGCUGCUGGAAAUCAGGCAUUGAACUUCGUGGAAUGGACUUUUGAGCCGCAUGCCGAAAUUGAAGUAGGCAAUGCCGUAUGUCCUGCGUUAAAGGAUUUUAAGCGGCUUUCCGUUGGAUCGGAGAGCAAUCAGGGUGGCACCACGGUUCAUUCGUCCCUUCU
rnacentral:ncRNA from 1 species